CCUAUUUUGGGGGUGUCACAGUUGGUAUCAGAGCUUAGGGAUAUGAUCUCUGGCGGAGAUCAGAGAAUAGAACUAGGAGGGGAGAGACGGGUAAAUCCUUCGCUAGUGUGUCCUACCUAAGCUUAUUUGUUAGUUGGUCAGUAUAUAAGGAUAUUAUGUGAUAUAUUGAUUUGCUUAAUUAACCCUUGUUUUAUGACAGUAUUUGAGAAUGUCGACUGAGAAUAUUAACAAUGGAAAUGAGACCGUGGAGACGCCUGUACUCACCAACGAGGAGAACGUGCAACAGGCUGGCAAUGUUCCUCCUGUGAACAACACCACUGAGCAGAUGAUGAACGAGGGGAUAUUUAGAAGCUUUUUGCAGUUCAUGCAAAAUCAGACGAGGGAGACUCGUGUUCAAAACAUAGGAGGAAAUGAUAGCAAUUCACGGGUUGUCACAGCCAAGCAGUUCAAAGAGUUGGGACCACCAGAAUUUAAGGGAAAGCCAGAUCCGAUCAUGGCAGAAACAUGGGUCAAGCAAAUUACCAAGAUAUUCG
rnacentral:lncRNA from 1 species